rnacentral:rRNA from 1 species
UACAGAGGGUGCGAGCGUUAAUCGGAUUUACUGGGCGUAAAGAGCUCGUAGGCGGUUUGUCGCGUCGGCUGUGAAAACUCGGGGCUCAACCCCGAGCCUGCAGUCGAUACGGGCAGACUAGAGUGCUGUAGGGGAGACUGGGAUUCCUGGUGUAGCGGUGAAAUGCGCAGAUAUCAGGAGGAACACCGGUGGCGAAGGCGGGUCUCUGGGCAGUAACUGACGCUGAGGAGCGAAAGCGUGGGGAGCAAACAGG